AGUGAACGCUGGCGGUAGGCCUAACACAUGCAAGUCGAACGGCAGCACAGUAAGAUCUUGCUCUUACGGGUGGCGAGUGGCGGACGGGUGAGGAAUACAUCGGAAUCUACUUUUUCGUGGGGGAUAACGUAGGGAAACUUACGCUAAUACCGCAUACGACCUACGGGUGAAAGCAGGGGAUCUUCGGACCUUGCGCGAUUGAAUGAGCCGAUGUCGGAUUAGCUAGUUGGCGGGGUAAAGGCCCACCAAGGCGACGAUCCGUAGCUGGUCUGAGAGGAUGAUCAGCCACACUGGAACUGAGACACGGUCCAGACUCCUACGGGAGGCAGCAGUGGGGAAUAUUGGACAAUGGGCGAAAGCCUGAUCCAGCCAUACCGCGUGAGUGAAGAAGGCCUUCGGGUUGUAAAGCCCUGUUGUUGGGAAAGAAAAGCAGCAGGUGAAUACCCCGAUGUUCUGACGGUACCCAAAGAAAAAGCACCGGCUAACUUCGUG
rnacentral:rRNA from 1 species